rnacentral:rRNA from 1 species
GACAACAGGGAUUGCCCUAGUAACGGCGAGUGAAGCGGCAACAGCUCAAAUUUGAAAGCUGGCUCCGGCCCGCAUUGUAAUUUGCAGAGGAUGCUUUUGGUGAGGUGCCUUCCGAGUUCCCUGGAACGGGACGCCACAGAGGGUGAGAGCCCCGUAUGGAUGGACACCAAACCUGUGUAAAGCUCCUUCAACGAGUCGAGUAGUUUGGGAAUGCUGCUCAAAAUGGGAGGUAAAUCUCUUCUAAAGCUAAAUACCGGCCAGAGACCGAUAGCGCACAAGUAGAGUGAUCGAAAGAUGAAAAGCACCUUGAAAAGGGGGUUAAACAGUACGUGAAAUUGUUGAAAGGGAAGCGUUUGUGACCAGACUUGCGCCGGGCAGCUCAUCAGGGGUUCUCCCCUGUGCACUCUGCCCGGCUCAGGCCAGCAUCGGUUCUCGUGGGAGGAUAAGAACGGCGGGAAUGUGGCCCCCUCUCGGGGGGGUGUUAUAGCCCSCCGUACGAUACUCCCGUGGGGACCGAGGUUCGCGCUCCGCAAGGAUGCUGGCGUAAUGGUCAUCAACGACCCGUCUUGAAACACGGACCAAGGAGUCGUCCAUUAGAGCGAGCGUUUGGGUGUCAAACCCGCACGCGUAAUGAAAGUGAACGCAGGUGAGAGCUUCGGCGCAUCAUCGACCGAUCCUGAUGUUCUCGGAUGGAUUUGAGUAAGAGUUUUAACGGACGGACCCGAAAGACAGUGAACUAUGCUUGUAUAGGGUGAAGCCAGAGGAAACUCUGGUGGAGGCUCGCAGCGGUUCUGACGUGCAAAUCGAUCGUCAAAUAUGAGCAU